AGAGCUCAGGCUCCUCCUCUCGCUGCCUCUCCGGCUCCACCGGCUCCGACAGCGGCUGCGUCUCCUCCCACCUGCAGGAGGCGCUGCCCGAGGAGCUGGGCCUCCCGGGCCAGCCCCCCCCCAUCUCCUCCAACAAGCAGCACCUGAGCAGCCAGUACAUUUCAUCAAAAGCUGCCGCUGUCAUCGGCCCGGCAACCGUGGUGUGACGCCGCUCAGCCGCAGCAGCGACCUGUUUGUGUUCUUCCUGCUGCCGUUUGACCGUCACUGAUCAAGUUUGAAUGUUUUAUUUAUGUUUGAAGCUUCAGUCGUUUGUUCUGUAAAUACGACGUAAGAUUUUCAGUUUGUGAGCUGAUCCCGGGUCUGAGUGAGUGUGUG